rnacentral:lncRNA from 1 species
AGGCAGAUCUUCUGUUACCCUGAAGAUUCAAAGGCAUUUAAAUGAGCAGCAGUCAACGCAACUUAACCAAUUGACAGGUAGCUGGAUGGAUGCUUGUGGGAUGGAUAGAAGAAAAGUAAACAACUUUGUAUUUUAAUAAAUGUUUUUUACUUAAAAGCCAUCUGAAGUGUACUCAUUUCAAUUUCAUGGGGGGAAGGGAGUGGGGCAUUUUUGUAAUUAAGACCUAAUGGCAUAUUUUUUGCAGAAAUUUUCUGAAGGGCCUUGUCAGUUUGUCAAGGAUUGG